UACGUAGGAUGCAAGCGUUGUUCGGAAUUACUGGGCGUAAAGAGUACGUAGGCGGUUUACUAAGUCUGUUAUUAAAGACCGAAGCUCAACUUCGGGAAUGUAAUGGAAACUGGUAGACUAGAGGUCAGAAGGGGAAAUCGGAAUUCUUAGUGUAGCGGUGAAAUGCGUAGAUAUUAGGAAGAACACCAGUGGCGAAAGCGGAUUUCUGGUCUGAAACUGACGCUGAGGUACGAAGGCGUGGGGAGCAAACGGG
rnacentral:rRNA from 1 species